rnacentral:rRNA from 1 species
GUAGUUAGCCGGGGCUUCCUCCUUGACUACCGUCACUUUCUUCGUUGCCAAGGACAGAGGUUUACAACCCGAAAGCCUUCUUCCCUCACGCGGCGUUGCUGGGUCAGGCUUGCGCCCAUUGCCCAAUAUUCCCCACUGCUGCCUCCCGCAGGAGUCUGGACCGUAUCUCAGUUCCAGUGUGGCCGAUCAGCCUCUCAGCUCGGCUACCCAUCGUCGACUUGGUGGGCUGUUACUCCGCCAACUAUCUAAUGGGACGCGAACCCCUCUUAUACCGGAUUGCUCCUUUGACCUCAUCCCGAUGCCGAGUCGUGGUCUUAUGCGGUAUUAGCAACCGUUUCCGGUUGUUAUCCCCCUGUACAAGGCAGGUUGUUCACGCGUUACUCACCCGUUCGCCACUAAGUUAUCAACCGAAAUCAAUAACUCCGUUCGACUUGCAUGUGUUAGGCACGCCGCCACGCGUCGUCUCGAGCACGAUACAACUACUCGA